UUCGCGCGCGGACUCGCCCCAAAUUCAUUGGCAGCGGUCCUUGCCUCCUCUCGCGCAGCACAAUUGCGUCUGCGGGGGGGCGUGGCCCGCGUCCACGAAGCAACAUUACCGUCUUUGACCUCGGAUCAGGUAGGGAUACCCGCUGAACUUAAGCAUAUCAAUAAGCGGAGGAAAAGAAACCAACAGGGAUUGCCCUAGUAACGGCGAGUGAAGCGGCAACAGCUCAAAUUUGAAAUCUGGCUCUCUUUGGGGGUCCGAGUUGUAAUUUGCAGAGGAUGCUUUGGCAUUGGCGGCGGUCUAAGUUCCUUGGAACAGGACAUCACAGAGGGUGAGAAUCCCGUACGUGGUCGCCUGCCUUUGCCGUGUAAAGCUCCUUCGACGAGUCGAGUUGUUUGGGAAUGCAGCUCUAAAUGGGAGGUAAAUUUCUUCUAAAGCUAAAUACUGGCCAGAGACCGAUAGCGCACAAGUAGAGUGAUCGAAAGAUGAAAAGUACUUUGGAAAGAGAGUCAAAAAGCACGUGAAAUUGUUGAAAGGGAAGCGCUUGCAGCCAGACUUGCCCGCAGUUGCUCACCUAGGCUUUGGCCUGGGGCACUCUUCUGCGGGCAGGCCAGCAUCAGUUUGGGCGGUUGGAUAAAGGCCUCUGUCACGUAUCUCCCUUCGGGGUGACCUUAUAGGGGAGGCGCAAUGCAACCAGCCCGGACUGAGGUCCGCGCAUCUGCUA
rnacentral:sRNA from 1 species